AUUGUUGCGAUAGUGAUCCUGCUUAGUACGAGAGGAACAGCAAGUUCAGAAAUUUGGUUCAUGGACUUAACCGAUCGGUCAAUGUACCAUCUGGGGGAUUAUGACUGAACGCCUCUAAAUCAGAAUCCCACCAAGUCAAGGCAGCGAUAACGCUGUUUGCCGAUGUCGAGAGACAACUCUAUCUCGUGGCAAGACGAGAGCUUACGCCUUAGUAAAUUGCCUUGCCGUUAUGGAUAAUCUCUGCGACAUAGUUGUCAAAGCCAGAUCACUCUGGUUCAAUGUCGGGGAGCAGAAUCACAUGUUUACGACAUGUAUACUGGUCAAGGGGCGCGUGUAGCGCAGUCGGAGGAGGCGCCGACGGUCGCGUGCACCCGAUACCAGGUUC
rnacentral:ncRNA from 1 species